rnacentral:rRNA from 1 species
AUGUAUAUAAACGUUUGUGUAUCCUCCAGUUCCCAGUAGAAAAUAAACAGACCCUGAUCUCGGAAGCUAAACAGGGUGGGUCCUGUUACAACCUGGAUGGGAGACCACCUGGGAAUACUGGGUGCUGUAGCUU